GUCUGUAGGCAGUGAAGGGGGAUAUGAUGAAACACAGUGCUGAAGAAAGCCAUCAAGUCUGCAGGUGUAAAUGUUGACAAGCUGAUCAAAUAGAUUUUGCUCUGGACGCUCUGCAACCUUCUCUAGCUAGCUAAGAAGACAAAACAAGUGUCAUGCUGGAGAAGGAUGAACACCAACCGAAGGCAACCUCUUGAGCUGCCUCUUGGCAACCCCAGAGGUACACAUAUAGAAUUAUUUUGACAGACCUAACCCUGACUGAGAAGCCUCCUAAACACAGACCUGCUCUUCCUCCUGGGAUAAGACAAGAACUUCAGAGGUGGAAGAGGAGAUGGGGUUAGACAGGUCUUC